AGAAAAGCCGGGCUGAGCGGUCUAGUCUUGGGAGGACGAGAUCUCCGGCGCGGGUCAACCGCUGCCACAUCCACUCGGAUCGGUGCGAGAUCCAGACACGCGAGUUUUCAAAUGCAAGGUUUCGGCCUUGCAUUUUUUU
rnacentral:sRNA from 1 species